GACGAACGCUGGCGGCGUGCCUAAUACAUGCAAGUAGAACGCACAGUUUAUACCGUAGCUUGCUACACCAUAGACUGUGAGUUGCGAACGGGUGAGUAACGCGUAGGUAACCUUCCUGGCAGCGGGGGGUAACUAUUGGAAACGAUAUCUAAUACCGCAUAAUAUUAAUUAUUGCAUGAUAAUUAAUUGAAAGGUGCAAUUGCACCACUACCAUAUGGUCCUGCGUUGUAUUAGCUAGUAGGUGAGGUAACGGCGCACCUAGGCGAAGAUACAUAGCCGACCUGAGAGGGUGAUCGGCCAACCUGGGACGGAGACACGGCCCAGAAUCCUACGGGAAGGAGCAGUAGGGGAACUUCGGAAAUAGACGAAAGUCUUACCGAGCAACGCCGCGUGAGUGAAGAAGGUUUUCGGAUCGUAAAGCUCUGUUGUAAGAGAAGAAAGGGUGUGAGAGUGGAAAGUUCACACUGUGACGGUAUCUUACCAGAAAGGGACGGCUAACUACGUG
rnacentral:rRNA from 1 species